rnacentral:rRNA from 1 species
GAACGCUAGCGACAGGCCUAACACAUGCAAGUCGGAGGGGCAGCACAAGGAGCAAUCUGAGGUGGCGACCGGCGCACGGGUGAGUAACACGUAUGACAACCUGCCUAGUAAGCGGGGAAUAACCCGUUGAAAGACGGACUAAUACCGCAUAAUACUAAAUUACUGCAUGGUAAUUUAUUUAAACAUUUAUGGCUUACAGAUGGGCAUGCGCAUGAUUAGCUAGUUGGAGAGGUAACGGCUCCCCAAGGCAACGAUCAUUAGGGGUUCUGAGAGGAAGGUCCCCCCACACUGGUACUGAGACACGGACCAGACUCCUACGGGAGGCAGCAGUGAGGAAUAUUGGUCAAUGGACGAGAGUCUGAACCAGCCAAGUCGCGUGCAGGAAGAAUGUCCCUAUGGAUUGUAAACUACUUUUGCAGGGGAAUAAAGUGCAUCACGUGUGAUGUUUUGUAUGUACUCUGCGAAUAAGGAUCGGCUAACUCCGUGCCAGCAGCUGC